AGGACAGAAAUGGCGGGUUUAGUUCUGCACCAGUGAUCGCUUUAGUACAACCAUUGUCCCUGGGCCUGUAUAACCUGCUCCAAACAUCCUAGACAAGUACAGCAGUACCCAUAACACUGUUUACAUCAGUGGAGAGGAAGACAUGGAUUUCUGACCGAGUGACAAGAGAGAGAAAAUGAUUUCACAUCUUCCUGACCCUGAAGAAUAGAACCUACUUUCCUUCAUAUUCCUAUAUGAUUUUUUUUUACUUCAGAAAACACAGAGAGAGAGCUUCAAAAGGGACAUAUUUUCAUGGAGAUGAAAAUUCCGAUGGAGUUGGCCCCUCAGACCUUCAAGCCACCAUUAAUUGACUCUCUGUUCCAAGCACAAGAUGGACACGCUCUAUAUCAGUGGAGGCUGCUCAGAGGAAGAAGGGGAGGACCAUCCUCCUCAGUGAAAUUUCAUAAAAAUAGGUGAUGACCACUCCACUCAACUAUCAUUGUCAACUCUCUCUUGACAUGAACUGAAGCCAUGUCUCAUGUGCCCCCUCAUCUACUGGCACGUUGAAUGUUUCCUCUCCAAGCACUUCAAAUAUUUUCUUGCAAUGAAGUCAAGCCUCUGAACACCUCAACUCAUGCCUCAUACCCUCAUUCAAUCACUGCUGUGAUCCCUUCCCAACACUGUGUCUCCCAUCCUCUUCAAUUUUUCAAGUCACCAGCCUCUGCUGCUCUAUAUUCAUUAGUGUCUGGAGCCAAAUUCUAACCCGGUGCCACUAAGGGGAGCGACCUUUGCUGCUCACCAUGAGACAGGCAGCAUUUACCAGUCCAAAGAAACAGGAACCCCAAACAGUAUUUCUGAAGUGCUAGAGAAAAUCCACCCAGAUGAGAAUCUGUGGUCUAACGCAUGCCUGGAGUCACAAUGGAAGUUCGAGCCAGGACAUAGCCUACCAAGCUUUUAACAGGGAGCCAGAGGCAUCCUCUCUCUAACUUGUAGCCGCCUCCAACUUCAUUUUAGAGAAUUUGGCAGUAUAUCCAACCGGCCACACAACUGCAGACCAAGUGUAACCACGCCAGCCCAGGACCUCGACAUCUAUUUUCUUCACCUGCGGGAUCGUCUGAGACCAGCCACCCGGACAGCUGAUGAAACUGAGAAGUAUUUCUGUCUGUAAUAAAGCCCAUUUUCUGGGGGAAAAUUAAUUCUGAUUGGACUGGGCCUGGCUCCCAAGUGGGUGGGCCUCAUGGCUGUGCCCCUGCCCAGUAAUGUGAAAUCCAUAGAUCAGGGCCUAAUGAAUGUAUUUCAAUUUGCUGAUUUCCAUGUAUGAACUGUAACUAAGUAAAAUCGUUUAAA
ensembl:lncRNA